CCCUUAUUGUUAGUUGCUACUAUUAAGUUAAGCACUCUAACGAGACUGCCGCGGUUAACGUGGAGGAAGGUGGGGAUGACGUCAAAUCAUCAUGCCCCUUAUGUCUAGGGCUACACACGUGCUACAAUGGCUGGUACAACGAGCAGCAAACCCGUGAGGGGGAGCAAAACUUGAAAGCCAGUCCCAGUUCGGAUUGUAGGCUGAAACUCGCCUACAUGAAGUUGGAGUUGCUAGUAAUCGCGAAUCAGCAUGUCGCGGUGAAUACGUUCCCGGGUCUUGUACACACCGCCCGUCACACCAUGAGAGCCGGUAACACCCGAAGCCCGUGAGGUAACCGUAAGGAGCCAGCGGUCGAAGGCGGGAUUGGUGAUUGGGGUGAAGUCGUAACAAGGUAGCCGUAGGAGAACCUGCGGCUGGAUCACCUCCUUUCUAGGGA
rnacentral:rRNA from 1 species